rnacentral:rRNA from 1 species
AUACAGAGGGUGCAAGCGUUAAUCGGAUUUACUGGGCGUAAAGCGCGCGUAGGUGGCUAAUUAAGUCAAAUGUGAAAUCCCCGAGCUUAACUUGGGAAUUGCAUUCGAUACUGGUUAGCUAGAGUAUGGGAGAGGAUGGUAGAAUUCCAGGUGUAGAGGUGAAAUGCGUAGAGAUCUGGAGGAAUACCGAUGGCGAAGGCAGCCAUCUGGCCUAAUACUGACACUGAGGUGCGAAAGCAUGGGGAGCAAACAAGAUUAGAUACCCUGGUAGUCCAUGCCGUAAACGAUGUCUACUAGCCGUUGGGGCCCUUGAGGCUUUAGUGGCGCAGCUAACGCGAUAAGUAGACCGCCUGGGGAGUACGGUCGCAAGACUAAAACUCAAAUGAAUUGGCGGGG